rnacentral:tRNA from 1 species
GGCCCCUUCGUCUAUCGGUUAGGACGCCUGAUUUUCAAUCAGGAAAGACGGGUUCGACUCCCGUAGGGGCUGCCA